rnacentral:rRNA from 1 species
GAGUUUGAUUAUGGCUCAGAUUGAACGCUGGCGGCAGGCUUAACACAUGCAAGUCGAACGGUAGCAGGAAGAAAGCUUGCUUUCUUUGCUGACGAGUGGCGGACGGGUGAGUAAUGCUUGGGAAUCUGGCUUAUGGAGGGGGAUAACUGUGGGAAACUGCAGCUAAUACCGCGUAGUAUCGAGAGAUGAAAGGGUGGGACCUUCGGGCCACCUGCCAUAAGAUGAGCCCAAGUGGGAUUAGGUAGUUGGUGGGGUAAAGGCCUACCAAGCCGACGAUCUCUAGCUGGUCUGAGAGGAUGACCAGCCACACUGGGACUGAGACACGGCCCAGACUCCUACGGGAGGCAGCAGUGGGGAAUAUUGCGCAAUGGGGGGAACCCUGACGCAGCCAUGCCGCGUGAAUGAAGAAGGCCUUCGGGUUGUAAAGUUCUUUCGGUAAUGAGGAAGGGGUAUUAUUGAAUAGAUAAUAUCAUGA